rnacentral:rRNA from 1 species
CCUACGGGGUGCAGCAGUGGGGAAUAUUGCACAAUGGGCGAAACCCUGAUGCAGCGACGCCGCGUGAGUGAAGAAGUCAUUCGUUAUGUAAAGCUCUAUCCGCAGGGAAGAAAAUGACGGUACCUGAGGAGGACGCCCCGGCUAACUACGUGCCAGCAGCCGCGGUAAUACGUCGGGGGCUAGCGUUAUCCGGAUUUACUGGGUGUAAAGGGUGCGUAGGCGGGUGUGUAAGGUCGGAGGGAAAGGCUUGGGCUCAACCGCCGUACUGCUGUGGAAACUGGAAGGCUGGAGUGCAGGAGAGGAAAGUGGAAUUCCUAGUGUAGCGGGGAAAUGCGUAGAUAUUACGAGGAACCCCGAUGGCGAAGGCAGCUUACUGGACUGAAACUGACGCUGAGGCACGAAAGCGUGGGGAGCGAACAGGAUUAGAUACCCGUGUAGUC